AUGAGGCAUAUAACAGGUUGGGCUAAAGAACAAGAAGGGCAGCUGCUUGGAACCUUCUAAGGUGACAGGAUGUUACUCUGUCUGGGCAGAUGCAUGAAGCCUUCUGAUGAGUAUGGUUUUCAAGUAGCCUGAGAAGUGGAAUUUCAAGAUUUUGCCAUUUCCUAGUGAUGAUGAACCAUUUCUACCUUGACUAAACUUCCUUCUCCUACUUAGGAGGGAAGUGCUUUGUCCAUCCUACUGGAUGAUGUCUCUUGUUCCAACAGAGGCAGAUGGGUGAAAGACUGGCUGCACUUAAAAAAGCAAAAUUGUUCUUGAAUGCCUUUUACUCCUCGACCUUGCUGUUAGCCACUCAGAUGUGACAAGACAUGUAAGGAGGUACAACAAAGCUUCAAACCAGCAAUGAACUGUCUGUGGAGAAAAAUUAUUGGGCUAUGAUCAGAGCUGCAGGAGGUUGAGUCCUGGAGCGAUGGCUUCUGCCACUGCAUUUGCUGAGAUUUUCCUAUUUUUGCUGUGAUUUUACUCAAAAAAACUAUUCAUUAUGGAGCAAAACAGAUACAUGCAUAAAUCUAGAAGAAAAUAUCAAUGAGCAAAUUCCCACCUUUUCUCUUACAAGAAUGUAAGCACUGUUAUUUUUUCACUCAGAUGUUUGUUGUCUAUUUGCAAGAGAAACUGGAUGGGAAAAGGCCCAGUCAAGCGGGCACUGAGGCUCAGGAGUCCUCUGGUCUCCCUGGGUGCUUUUUGAAUUUCUUCCUGGAACUUCCUCCCGACAUAAUGUACAAGGGUUUUACAGAAACUGUGGCUUCUGGUGUUCGUACUGUGUUAGCUCCUCAUUUAGCUGGUUUUCUGCUUGGAUGUGAAACUCCAAAGACGUGUUUUGCUUCUCACUGACCACUCAGAAAUCCCAUGUUCCAUUUUGGGUAGGAAUGUAGCUGCAGUAUGUUUGAGGGAGAGGAGGAAAAGGAAGGAUGGAGCUUUUAGAGUGCAUGCAGACUUCAAGCUGAUACCCUGCCUGGCUGCUGUGAGGCUGCAGGAACAUUAAUGCUGACCCCCAUCUAUGGGAUCUCUUACAGCUGCAGCUGGAGAAAGAUGUGAACAAGUAAAAGUGCCUCCUCAGGCAAGUGGAAGCCAGAGGAAAACUAGAGGGAUAAGGAAAUAUAAAUCAGAUGUUUUUGCAGUGAAGUUUCCUGCUGAACCUCUUGUCUGGGCCUCCCCCCAGUGCCUCAUGCGUGGCUGCUGCUCUGCUGGUCCCCUGUGCUGGCAGCAGUGGACUGCCCUUCAUGCCUCAGAGCAUGCAGGGCUCAAUUAUGCACUUACAUGUCUUCCUCAAAGUUGGACCAUCUGGACCACCACCUGAAUGUCAUUUUUUUCCUGCACAGCUUCUCACAUGAUUUGCCAGCUUGUGUUUGUGAUUUGGAGGGGGGAUAUGUGUGAAAGGUGGUGAAAUCUGGCACAGGUUUUUUGCAUAAGCAGUGACACUGACAGAACUUUUAUUUAGGAUUUAAUUGAUGGCUGCACCUCCUUGGAAACCUGUGCAACUUAUUGAGAGGAAGUCCUAAAUCUGUGUCAACCUCCAACAGGGCUAAGUUUAUUCCUCUAAAAGAAUAAACACAUUAAUCACUCUAAGGAUAACCUCAGAAAUAAUAAGCAGCUUCUUGUUUGAAAUGCUUCCACAGGGAAAAGAGAGUGUACCAGGACAGGACUUGGAGAGGCCAGUCUCUGUUGGGUGGUUCAGGCAGCAUAGGCACCCAAACAGUAUCUACAGAUCAGCUCUUACAAUCUCCUCCAGGAUGCUCUGGGGAAACAAGUAUUGCUCCACCACCUACAGCAUGGUUGAAACUGAUUAUACAAAAGUAGCCACAGUCACAAUCUUCAUUUUAGCUAUUUGCUGUAUGCCAGGACACAGACUCCUAAAUCAAAUUAUGAUUUCAUAAAUCUGACUAAUCCAGGCUGUUGGCCUGUUGCUGCAGAGUACAUUCUUGUAACCAGUGCUGCCUCUGCCACCAGCCAGUGGCUGUAUGCACAGGAAAGAAGGCCACUAUUCAUAGGGGCUGUACUCAGGUGGUACCUAAACACACUGUCCAGCUGUACAGCAUCCAAUCAUGGCCUCUUUCUGGGGUGAAUAAUAAGUAUGUUGGUUCACAGGGUAUGAAAUUAUUUGCAUACACCAGUAAAAAGCAUUCAUUAAAGAAAAUUUUUAAAUAUGGAUGAUUUAAUAAUAUUAAAUAUUACUUCUUAUAGGGAAACUUGGAACAUUCAGUGCCUGCUGCCUUUGCAGAGGCCAUGAGGAAAUGAGUUUGUUGCAUUGCAAUCAAUAAACCACAAACUUCUAGUUAAAAUCUAUUUGAAAUCUAGUUAUUUGAAAUCAUGUUGUCUGACAGUGUAAUACAGGUUGAAAACCCAAAUAAGGGUUGUCAAUGUUUUAGCAUAUGCAGACACACAGUCCUUGUCACUACACGUGGCAUCACUAGCGAGCUAACCCAAGAGUCACUCCCUCUGCCUUCCUGGCCUCAUUGUGGAAGACCUGAAAAUGCACAGGUGUUUUCUAGAUACCUGUGAGGGCUCAUCCUCAAGGACAAGGAGGGCUAGAUAUCUUCUCACCAAUGAAGCUCAAGGAAAAUCAGGAGCCAUGGAGAGUGGCACCACCUCCAGGUGGGGACUAGUCAUGCAAAAACUAGGUGAAACCUUCACUAGUACGGAGAGGAGGAUUUGCCAUUUUAGUUUGGCCUGAUGGUCAAUACAUUAAAAAACAGAAGAGGCCAGGGUUGGCUCCCCUUCUAGGAAGAAGAAAGCAGGUGCCUUGCUGUGAAGGCUCAUGAAAGUGCCUGUAGAGGCUAUGUGCACCCUCUAUAGAAACACUUCCCUUCAUAUUUUCACUGCAACAGGCAAUUACAGUAAUUCCUUCAAUAUGUCCAGGGUAAGGGAAGCUUCCAGAAGAAAUGUUGCCUCCACUGUUAAGGAAAUUCUACACCAUUCUUUGUUUACCAUUAACUCACAACAAUCUGCUUAUAUGCCUUCAGUUUUGGGGGAGUGAUCACUCUGAGCAUACUGCUCCAGUAAUUUUUCCAGUCAGUGAGGCUGUGCCAUGAGCUCUAUAGUUUGCAUCCUCCACAUUUACAAGUAAGUUAACUCUGCUAUCCAACAGCCAAGUAGUCUUUCUGGUGGCUUGUGGCACUCACAUUCUGUGAAAAAAUCCCUUUGCCCAGGGUUUUUCUCCUGGGAAGCUAAAAGGCAGGGAGAGAGGCCUCAGAGAAAGGAAAACAAUUCUUCUCUCAUUUGCUUCUCCUGUGUUGUGCUCCUGUGGAAUGUGUUUAGAGACUGUUUACCUGAAGGUGAUUGCCUGAUUGGACUCCUGUGGCCAAUCAUUGCCAAGCUGUGCUGGGACUCUGGAAACCAGAGUCAUGAGUUUUUAUUAUUAUCUUUUUAACAUUGAGUAUCUUUUCUGUAUUCUAUAGUAUAAUAUUCUUUAAUAUAAUAUAGUAUAAUAAAGAAACAAAUUAGCCUUCUGAUAA